rnacentral:rRNA from 1 species
AGUGAACGCUGGCGGUAGGCCUAACACAUGCAAGUCGAACGGCAGCACAGUAAGAGCUUCCUACUACGGAUGGAGAGUGGAGGAAGGGUGAUGACAAAUUCGGACACUACUUUUACGCGGGGGCUAACGUCGGGAAACUUACGCUAAUACCGCAUUAGACUUACGGAUGAAAGCAGCGGAUCUUCGGACCUUGCGCGCCUGAAUGCGCCGAUGUCGGGUUAGCGAGCUGGCGGGGUAAAGGCCCACCAAGGCGACGAACCGUAGCCGGUCUGAGAGGAUGAGCAGCCACACUGGGACUGAGACACGGUCCAGACUCCUACGGGAGGCGGCAGUAGGAAAUAUUGGACAAUGGGCGGAAGCCUGAUCCAGCCAGACCACGUGGGUGAAGAAGGACUUCUGGUUGUAAAACCCUUUUGUUGGGAAAGAAAAGCAGCUUGUUAAUACACCACUAUUCUGACGGUACCCAAAGAAUAAGCACCGGCUAACUUCGUG